rnacentral:rRNA from 1 species
AAGGCAGCAGGCGCGCAAAUUACCCACUCCCAGCACGGGGAGGUAGUGACGAAAAAUAACGAUACGGGACUCAUCCGAGGCCCCGUAAUCGGAAUGAGUACACUUUAAAAAUUUUUCCGAGGAUCAAUUGGAGGGUAAGUCUGGUGCCAGCAGCCGCGGUAAUUCCAGCUCCAAUAGCGUAUAUUAAAGUUGUUGCGGUUAAAAAGCUCGUAGUCGAAUCUGUGUCCCGCGCCGCUGGUUCAUCGCUCGCGGUGUUUAACUGGCGUGUCUCGCGGGACGUCCUGCCGGUGGGCGCUCGUAUCGUUUCGGCGGUGCGUGGCCCAACUCGUAGCCGUCUCGCGCGGAUGCGAAUCCUAUCGCGGUGCUCUUUAUUGAGUGUCGAGGUGGGCCGGCACGUUUACUUUGAACAAAUUAGAGUGCUUAAAGCAGGCCAAUUUUGCCUGAAUAUUGUGUGCAUGGAAUAAUGGAAUAGGACCUCGGUUCUAUUUUGUUGGUUUUAGGAACCCCGAGGUAAUGAUUAAUAGGAACGGAUGGGGGCAUUCGUAUUGCGACGUUAGAGGUGAAAUUCUUGGAUCGUCGCAAGACGGACAGAAGCGAAAGCAUUUGCCAAAAACGUUUUCAUUGAUCAAGAACGAAAGUUAGAGGUUCGAAGGCGAUCAGAUACCGCCCUAGUUCUAACCAUAAACGAUGCCAGCUAGCGAUCCGCCGACGUUCCUCCGAUGACUCGGCGGGCAGCUUCCGGGAAACCAAAGCUUUUGGGUUCCGGGGGAAGUAUGGUUGCAAAGCUGAAACUUAAAGGAAUUGACGGAAGGGCACCACCAGGAGUGGAGCCUGCGGCUUAAUUUGACUCAACACGGGACACCUCACCAGGCCCGGACACCGGAAGGAUUGACAGAUUGAUAGCUCUUUCUUGAUUCGGUGGGUGGUGGUGCAUGGCCGUUCUUAGUUGGUGGAGCGAUU